rnacentral:rRNA from 1 species
UACAUGGGGUGCAAACGUUGCUCGGAAUUAUUGGGCGUAAAGAGCUCGUAGGCGGUCUGUCGCGUCUGCUGUGAAAACUCAGGGCUUAACCCUGAGCUUGCAGUGGGUACGGGCAGACUAGAGUGCGGUAGGGGAGACUGGAAUUCCUGGUGUAGCGGUGAAAUGCGCAGAUAUCAGGAGGAACACCGGUGGCGAAGGCGGGUCUCUGGGCCGUAACUGACGCUGAGGAGCGAAAGCAUGGGGAGCGAACAGG